UACGAAGGGGGCUAGCGUUGCUCGGAAUCACUGGGCGUAAAGCGCACGUAGGCGGAUCUUUAAGUCAGGGGUGAAAUCCUGGAGCUCAACUCCAGAACUGCCUUUGAUACUGAGGAUCUCGAGUCCGGGAGAGGUGAGUGGAACUGCGAGUGUAGAGGUGAAAUUCGUAGAUAUUCGGAAGAACACCAGUGGCGAAGGCGGCUCACUGGCCCGGUACUGACGCUGAGGUGCGAAAGCGUGGGGAGCAAACAGG
rnacentral:rRNA from 1 species